UGAACGAAACUAACCAGACAAGGAAAACGGAGCCUCUCUUUCUUCAGUGUCACGGAAAAGAUAAUUGAAUGAUGAGAAGUGCAACCGAUGGGAGUGCAAAGCCCCUCCAAGGUGAGAAUCAGACUUGCAUUUUGUUGCUUUUGCUAUGAAGAACGCAAACCCAAUACUGCCAGCUAAUAUGACUUUUUAAGGAAAACUCAAAAGUUCAUAUUUUAUGUGAAAUUAACAAAUCUUUGAAAGUUGACCACUAAUUAAAAUUGUUUUACAGCGCUGCUAAAAGCCAAAACUAUGACAGCCAAUUCAAACAUAUUUGUGGCUACAUUUGGCCAACAGCCUGCCAUUUAUGACCUGAAGUUUAUAGUAUUUUUACAUAAUAAUAUUUUCCACAUGGAUUAUCUCAUUUAAUACUAAAAAAUACUCCUGUGAUGUGGGUAGCAGUAUUCUUAUUUUACUCUUGAGAAAAUUGAAGCUCUGAGUCUAAAGUCUUGCUCAAACUUAAACAGCCUAUAAGGAUAAGAACUAAGAGUCAAAUCUAGACUAUCUGACUUCCAAUCAAAUUAUUUCUAUUCCAACUAGCAGAAGCAAACUAGAGUAAUUUUUAAAAUUCCAGCUAGCAGAAUAAACAUUAGAGAAAUUUUUAUAUUCCAGCAAGUAGGAAAAAAAGAGUUAGAGAGACUUUUUUUUUUUAACUUGCCCAAAGGCAUUGGUUAAUACAUAGCAGAACAGGUACAUGAAUUCAAUCUGCAUGAUACUUUCUUUAUUGCUUUUAUUUGAGCAACUAGCUGCACUGAAUUCCAGUACCAAAUGAAAAAAAUUUUUUGAUUUUGUUACUUAAAUAACAGUUAUAGUUGUACAAUUAAUGGUUGAAUCAUCAUUAUACGUGCAAUAGACUACCUUUAAUUAAAUCCAUUUUACCUUUUGCAUAUAGGGCAAAUUAAGCAGAAUCAAUAUCAGGUGUUAUUAAAAUAAACUUUUGCCUGUUUUCCUUCUACGCUCCUAAAACAACCCUGUCCUCAUCAGCCAGGAGACCCAUUCAUCUACCAGCCUAUAUGUUGAAAUGGAUUGAUGAAAUCAAUGAAUCUGUGAAAAUACAGGACUUCUACUAAGCCAAGAUAAGAUUUAAAACAUAAUUGGGGAAAAAAAGCAUAAUUGAAAAAGUAAGAAAAACUCAGAAAUAUUUACUUCUACAGGUCUAGGUCUUAUGACAAUAUUGACACAGAAUUGUGUAAAUGACUUUAUGGCCUUUUUAAACUUUAUGUAAUCACAUGUUAAUUAUUUCAAACAAUAUACAAAAAUAUAUUAUGAAAAUAUUCCAUUCCUGUGUUCCAGUAUUCUCAGUUCUUUUCUUAAAAACAUCAUCAAAAACGUCAUAAUUACCAGCUAUUUUCUGUAUCACAGGCUUCACUUCUUUCAAUAAGACUUACCUUGAGUACUCUAAAUUUUCAACACACCCUGCGCUCUCCAGCCUUAUUUCAUGCUCUUUUUUCUCUUACCACAGAUUUUACUCCCUCUAGAGUACACACACACACACACACACACACACACACACACACGUUACUCUUAAGAACAUUGAAGCUCAGAGUCUCAAGUCUCGCUCAGACUUAAGCAGCCUCUACAUAGGAAUUUAUUGUGCUUUGCAAAAUUUAUUUUGGCACUCCAGAUUGUUUAAAAUAAUUUGCUACUACAAACAAUGCUGUAAUGAACAUCAUUAUAUUGCUGUAAUUUCUCUUAAUGGAACUAAUAAGGUCAGUCAUAUUUUACCUUUUUUUUUAGUAAUUCCUCAUUUCAAGUUUAUUUUAUUGUUUUUAUUGUUCUUUAUUUUCAUCCCUUCUUAUUACUAAAUAUUUACAUAAAUAUUUUGGAAGAUAAAUUCAGUCUUUCAUCACUAAUUAUAAUACCAUAGGCUUUAUGUAAAUGCAAAUUAUCAAGCUGAGAACAUUCCCUUUAUUUUUAGUUUUCUGCGUUCUUUAAAAUCAUGAAUAAUAUUGAAUUUUGUCAAAUGCUCUUUCUGCAUCAAUUGGUAUGAUACUCCUAAAUUUGAUCUUUAGUCCAUUAAUAUGGUAAAAUUGAUUUUCAAACAUUGAACCAGCCUCACAUCCCUAGAACGAAGCACACUUGGUGGUGUAUAAUUAAUUUUUAAACUCUUGAAUUAUAUUUUCUAAUAUUUUUUUAAACAUUUUUGCUAUGUUCAUGAAAGACAUUAUUUGGUAGUUUCUGUUUUUGGUAAUAUUUUUGGUUUUGGUAUCAGAAUAAAAUGAAUUGGAUUCCUUUUUCUUAUAUUUUAGUAAGAGAUUGUGUAGAAUGUUAAUUCAUCUUAACAUUUUAUAGAAUUCUCCAGUCAAAUCAUCUGGAACUGGAAAAUUCUAAUUUAUAUUUACAGGACUAUUCAAAUUAUCUAUUUCAUAUUGGAUUAGUUAUUCUUUGUGCUCUUCAAGGAACGAGUUCCUUCUAUCUAAUUUGUCAAAUUUAUAUGUGUAGAACUAUUUAUAGUAUACCCUUAUUAUUCAUUUCAUGCCAGCAGUGUCUAUAAUGAUAUCCCCUGUGAUACGGUUUGGCUCUAUGUCCCCACUGAAAUCUCAUCUUGAAUUGCAAUCCCCACAAUUUGAGGGAGGGACCUAGUUAGUGGGAAGUGACUGUAUCAUGAGGAUAGUUUCCUCAUGCUGUUCUCAUGAUAGUGAGUGAGAUCUCAUGAGAUCUGAUGGUUUAAAAGCUUUUGGCAGUUCCCCCAGCUCGCUCGCUCACUCUCUCCUGUUGCCAUGUGAGGAAGGUCCUUGCUUCCCCUUCGCCUUCCACCAUGAUUGUAAGUUUCCUGAGUCCUC
rnacentral:lncRNA from 1 species